rnacentral:rRNA from 1 species
CUCGAGGGUGUACUGCCCCAAGAACGGCGAGUGAAGCGGCAAAAGCUCAAAUUUGAAAUCUGGCACCUUCGGUGUCCGAGUUGUAAUUUGAAGAAGGUAACUUUGGAGUUGGCUCUUGUCUAUGUUCCUUGGAACAGGACGUCACAGAGGGUGAGAAUCCCGUGCGAUGAGAUGCCCAAUUCUAUGUAAAGUGCUUUCGAAGAGUCGAGUUGUUUGGGAAUGCAGCUCUAAGUGGGUGGUAAAUUCCAUCUAAAGCUAAAUAUUGGCGAGAGACCGAUAGCGAACAAGUACAGUGAUGGAAAGAUGAAAAGAACUUUGAAAAGAGAGUGAAAAAGUACGUGAAAUUGUUGAAAGGGAAGGGCUUGAGAUCAGACUUGGUAUUUUGCGAUCCUUUCCUUCUUGGUUGGGUUCCUCGCAGCUUACUGGGCCAGCAUCGGUUUGGAUGGUAGGAUAAUGACUAAGGAAUGUGGCUCUACUUCGGUGGAGUGUUAUAGCCUUGGUUGAUACUGCCUGUCUAGACCGAGGACUGCGUCUUUUGACUAGGAUGUUGGCAUAAUGAUCUUAAGCCACCCGUCUGAAAACCCGGGACCAAAACCGCCCCAAAAAAUUU